rnacentral:rRNA from 1 species
UACGAAGGGGGCUAGCGUUGUUCGGAUUUACUGGGCGUAAAGCGCACGUAGGCGGAUCGUUAAGUCGGGGGUGAAAUCCUGGAGCUCAACUCCAGAACUGCCUUCGAUACUGGCGAUCUUGAGUCCGGAAGAGGUGAGUGGAACUCCUAGUGUAGAGGUGGAAUUCGUAGAUAUUGGGAAGAACACCCGUGGCGAAGGCGGCCCCCUGGGCCGAACCUGACGCUGAGGCGCGAAGGCUAGGGGAGCGAACGGG